rnacentral:pre_miRNA from 1 species
AAGCUUUGUCCUAAGUCAAACUUUUUAAAAUUUGACCAAGAUAUAGAAAUAUACCAAUAUCAAAUAAGAACACUAUGAACAUAUAUAUCAUGGCGGAUUUAAUAAAACUAAUUUAGUGUUGUAGAUGUUGGUAGAUUUUUCUAUAAACUUGGCCAAACUUAAAGAAAUCUGACUUAGGACAAAGCUGG